ACGAAGGGUGCAAGCGUUACUCGGAAUUACUGGGCGUAAAGCGUGCGUAGGUGGUUCGUUAAGUCUGAUGUGAAAGCCCUGGGCUCAACCUGGGAAUUGCAUUGGAUACUGGCGAGCUAGAGUGCGGUAGAGGAUGGCGGAAUUCCCGGUGUAGCAGUGAAAUGCGUAGAGAUCGGGAGGAACAUCUGUGGCGAAGGCGGCCAUCUGGACCAGCACUGACACUGAGGCACGAAAGCGUGGGGAGCAAACAGG
rnacentral:rRNA from 1 species